rnacentral:rRNA from 1 species
AUGGUGUGUGUCUGGGGACGAGAACACCCAGUUUUUCACGCAGCGGCCAAUUGCCAAGCUCGCCGUAACAAGGUCAAAGUGCUUGUUCAGGACAGGGUGGAGCAUUUUGAUAUCGGUCAGAAGCUGCGGUUGGCUACUGAUUACUUUAAGGCAAUCUUGGGACAACCUGCAUCCUCGAUUGACACUGUCGAUGUUGGUUCUCUUUAUACUCUGCUGGACCUGUCGGAGCUCACAGCUGAGUUCUCCUGGGCUGAGAUUGUGCAGGCUAUUAAUUGUUCGCCAAAUAACAAAAGUCCGGGCCCUGAUGGUUUUACCAAUGAGUUUUACAAGGCUUUCAAGUUACUGAUAAAGGAUGAUAUCCUAAGGUUUUUUGGUGAUUUCCAUAAAAAUGAAGUGGAUCUCUCUGGUAUCAACUCUGCUUUCAUUACCCUGCUACCUAAAAAAGAAACACCUCUAGAAAUGCAUGAUUCUAGACCGAUUUCUCUUGUGCAUAGUGUGCCUAAGCUGGCCUCUACGGUUCUGGCUAGUCGGCUCAAAAUAUGGAUUCCCCACUUGAUCCACAUGCUUCAGUCCGGCUUCCUGAAGGGCCGAUCGAUCAUUGAGAACUUUGCUUUGGCUGCCGAAAUGAUCCAGUAUGCUCAUAAAAGAAAACUGCCAGUCAUUGCUUUGAAGUUGGACUUUCAUAAGGCCUUCGACAACGUCUGUUAG